rnacentral:misc_RNA from 1 species
UCCAACUUAUCGCUGGCGGUCUCCUGCGAGUUCCUUCCUUUCGGAUAUGGCAACACAGGACAAGGGUUGCGCUCGUUGCGGGACUUAACCCAACAUCUCACGACACGAGCUGACGACAGCCAUGCAGCACCUCGACCCCACUCCCUUGCGGGAUAACCGUGUUUCCACGAUCGUUAAGAGGCCGUUCGAGCCCAGGUAAGGUUCUUCGCGUUGCGUCGAAUUGAACCACAUGCUCCACCGCUUGUGCGGGCCCCCGUCAAUUCCUUUGAGUUUCGGCCUUGCGACUGUACUCCCCAGGCGGCACAUUUAACGCGUUAGCUCCGGCACGGACAGAAUGAACUGCCCACACCAAAUGUGCAUCGUUUAGGGCGUGGACUAC